CUGGAAACUCAAGUCUCCUUGGGACACUCGCCUCCUCCUUUCUAGGACCUGUACCUGCACACACACACACACACACACACACACACACACACACACACACACACACACACACGACCAAAACCUUCUCCCUUUACUUCCCAAUCCCGGACGUGCGCUGAGCCAUCUCAAAGACCUUUUUGAGUACCUGCCAAGGACCAAUACUGCUCCCACAUGCCUCCAAGAAGCCCUCGUGCAAAAGUGCACGAGCUCCCAAGGCUUGUGUGCGCGGCCAGCCCUCUGAGGGAAGUUCUGCACACCCCAAAUCCCAGCCCCCACCCUAGCUCGGACAGCAGGAGGGAGCCCCCGGGUGUGGCUUGGCGCUGGCACACAAUACUCUAGCAACUCUAGCUUUCCCCGCACGCCCUGGCCAACCUUGCCACUAGUUUCUCCUCACACAGUCCCUCUGGUUCAAGCCUGCCAGGAGCAGGAGCGUCCUCGUGGCUGUUGGAUGGGAAUCAGGAAGAUUGGAAAGACAGGCAACUACCACCCAGAUCGCUAGUGGGUCGCAGUCUCCAGAAGCCGCAUGGGUGUUCACGUCCUUCCGAAGGAGACGAAGUGAGGACAACCCCAAAGACCAGAAGGAGCGAAUCCUACAGGAGGUAAUUGUGGCCCUCAGUCCUCAUCAAAGAAGCUUCUUUUAGCAACAGAUGGAGACUACUACAGAGAUUGACAACUGGUCAAAAUGUGGACAACUGACCAUGGAGGUCCCUAUCCCCAACUGAUAAAUCUACCAUACAAUCCCUGUAUUCAAGGCUCUUAGAAGGCAGGGGAAGGGGGGCAGAAAGAUUGUUAAGAACUAAAGAGCAGGGAAGUCUGCUGCCAGAUAGUGUCUUAUAUAUGUGACAGGGAAGCUACACACAUGAAAUUUCAACAAUAUAGUCUCCUAAGCAAGACCUGCACAAUGACAUUCAAACAUGGAUGGAUGGAUGGAUGGAUGGAGGAAAUCUCACAAUAGCUACCCCUGAAGAGCUACAAUCAAUGUGUGUGUGUGUGUGUGUGUGUGUGUGUGUGUGUGUGUGUACGCGCGCGCGUGCAUCCCCCCCCCCCCACGUGCACUGGUAUGUUUGUAAUUUAUAGAAGAAGAGGGCAAGAAUUUUGCUUUAAUUUUGUAGUUUUGAAGACAGGGUUUCACCAUGUGUAGCCUUAGCCCUCUUGGAACUCAACUUGUAUACCAAAUUCGACACGAACUCAUAAUGAUCCUCCUGCCUCUGCUUCCCUAGUGCUGGAAUUAAAGGUAUACAGUAUGCUCUAUCAUGGCCAGCUUGAGGUAAUGAAUUUGAAAGGCAAGUGGGGGCAUGAGAAGAAUUAUAGGCAGAGAGGAUGGGCUGUUAAAAAUAAUGUAGUUACAGUACUUACAUAUAAAAUUCUCAAAAACUAGAUUCAAAACUUUAAAGUAAAAAUAUAAAUAUGUGCGUGUGAGUGGGUGUAUAUAUAAAUAAAUGUAAAUUUAAAUACUUUUGACAAAUCCUUCACCUAUAAAACCUUUGGUAAGCUAUUUUUCUCUCCCUUCUCUUUAUUCCCUUCCCCUCCCUUCUCUUUGUUGAUGGUUAUUUCUGAUGCACAUGGCAAAUUAAAGAAUACAGCACUAUCUUA